AUACUUACUGGCAGGGAGCGAACCAUGAUACAGAAGGUGGUUCACCCAGGGCGAGGUUAACCAUUGGCACGCCGGUUAGAUGGACCAUCGCCGAAUUCCCAAAUGUGGGAAUCUCGACUGCAUAAUUUGUUGGUAGUGGGGACUCGUUCGCGCUCUACCCCG